rnacentral:lncRNA from 1 species
CAGUCUUGAGGUGGGGACCUAUGUUUUCAUGGGUUUCACCUCCAGAAACCCCACCAGGUUCUCAUGGUGAAGAGCCAGGAAAGAUCCCUUCAUGUCUCUGGCAGGAGUAGAAGAAGAGGCCAGGCAUGGUGGCUCACGCCUGUAAUCCCAGCACUUUGGGAGGCCGAGGUGGGUGAAUCACCUGAGGUCAGGAGUUCGAGGAGUAGAAGAAGAACGAACAUCAUGAGAUGUGCCCAGAAGGUUUUUCAUGACAAUGAAAAACACUCUGUAAUAAAGGUGGUUGCUCUCGAGUUUGUAAUAUCCAUUUUUAACUAUUAAAAAUUUGUUUUAGAGAUUCUUAUACUUGAGAUUACAGCAUCUGAUUUUAGCUGAUAAAGCUUUAAAUUCCAUUCUACUCCAUGCUUGAAAUUUGAAGGUUCUGAAAGGAAUGCAGAUGAUUUACUUCUAACUUGCUGUGUUAGCUGGAGUAAAUUAUUUAACUGCUUUGUGCUUUUUUUUGGAGGAGAGGUUACAUUAGUCUGCCUCUUGAGUGUUUCUGGGACACUUAAGUGUAAAAACCAUCCUGCAGUACAUUAUCAAAAGUAACUCAUGGCAGAAUCUGUUUUUCUCUGCCUUGAUAGCAGUGGAUUGUGGAGUUUUAAUUACUAAUGUACUUUCCAUGAGGCCCAGUGAUGAUAAGAUGCACCAUCAAAGUAACAGAGUAACAGUAGGGAGAAAAGAAGUAUGUGUCAAUUGUAGUAUACGUUUUAAUUUCAGCAACAUUAAAAUGUAAACAUAUAUACAUAUUAAAAUUGAGGAAAUGUGGUGAUGCCUAAUUCCCAGAGAUGUUCUGAAAAUUAAAUAAGGUUCUCAUUCCACACUGUUAAGUGGUACAAUGCAAAUAUUAUUACUUGCCUCACCCACCCCACAAUCCAGCCUUUAAUAAUAUAUUAGUGACUUGGGAAAAAAAUGGAUACGUCAUUCAAUUUGGGGAUCAAAUUUUUCAUGAGAGUCAUUUUUUAAAGGGGGGAUAUGUUAUUGUUUUCCUUUUUUAAAAAACAGGGUUUCACUCUGUCACCCAGGCUGGAGUGCAGUAGCACAAUCUUGGCUCACUGCAACCUCUGCCCCCUGGGAUUCAAGCAAUUAUUGUGCCUCAGCCUCCCAAGUAGCUGGGAGCAUGUGCCACCAUACCUGGCUAAUUUUUCUAUUUUUAGUAGAGACAGGGUUUCACCUUGUUGGCCAAGCUGGUCUUGAGCUCCUGACCUCAAGUGAUCCACCCCUGCCUCAGCCUUCCAAAGUGCUGGGAUUACAGGCAUGAGCCACCACAUCUGGCCAAGGGAUAUAUUUUAAAGUUCAAUGAAUUUUAUCCCCAAAGUUUAUAAUAGGGAGAGACAGGUUCAGAGAAAUAAAAUGACUUCUCUAUAUGCAUAUAGUUCAUGGCACAGUUGAGACAGAAAGAGGACUUUUUAUGGAUAACAUUGACUAUUGUAAGUAAUUGUGAUUAUAUACAGUGAAGCAUUGAAGCUAGCUUUGUAACUUCAGUUCAAACAAAGGAGUGAUAGGAUGCUAAUCCCCCACAUGCACAAUGUUUUAGCAAAAGUACAGUGCAAGGAUAAGCUGAUUUAUGUUGUAGAAUUAAGGCAGUAGGAAUUGAGAGUAUGAAAGCUGUCAGAAUCAAAAUGGAGUCACUAAUGUUAAAACAAAACAAAACAAAACAAAACUCUGACAAAUAGAGCCAUGAA